rnacentral:rRNA from 1 species
AGAGUUUGAUCCUGGCUCAGGACGAACGCUGACGGUGUGCUUUAGGCAUGCAAGUCGAACGAGAAAGCCCUUCGGGGUGAGUAAAGUGGCGAACGGGUGAGUAACACGUGGGCAACCUGCCCCUCGCAGGGGGACAACCGGAGGAAACUCCGGCUAAUACCCCGUAAGCUCUACACGCCGCAUGGCGAGUAGAGGAAAGGUAGCUUCGGCCAUCCGGCGAGGGAUGGGCCCGCGGUGCAUUAGCUAGUUGGUGGGGUAACGGCCCACCAAGGCGACGAUGCGUAGCUGGUCUGAGAGGAUGAUCAGCCACACUGGGACUGAGACACGGCCCAGACUCCUACGGGAGGCAGCAGCCAGGAAUCUUGGGCAAUGGGCGAAAGCCUGACCCAGCAACACCGUGUGGGCGAUGAAGGCCUUCGGGUCGUAAAGCCCUGUUGAUAGGGACGAAGGGCGAAGGGUUAAUAGCCCCUAGCUUGACGGUACCUUUCGAGGAAGCCCCGGCUAACUACGUGCCAGCAGCCGCGGUAAUACGUAGGGGGCGAGCGUUGUCCGGAAUUAUUGGGCGUAAAGAGCGUGUAGGCGGUUCGGUAAGUCUGUCGUGAAAUCCUGGGGCUCAACCCCGGGCGUGCGAUGGAUACUGCCGGGCUAGAGGGUGGUAGAGGCGAGUGGAAUUCCCGGUGUAGCGGUGAAAUGCGCAGAUAUCGGGAGGAACACCAGUAGCGAAGGCGGCUCGCUGGGCCACACCUGACGCUGAGACGCGAAAGCUAGGGGAGCGAACAGGAUUAGAUACCCUAGUAGUCC